rnacentral:rRNA from 1 species
CAGUAGCCGCGGUAAUACGGAGGGUGCAAGCGUUAAUCGGAGUUACUGGGCGUAAAGCGCACGCAGGCGGUUUGUUAAGUCAGAUGUGAAAUCCCCGAGCUUAACUUGGGAACUGCAUUUGAAACUGGCAAGCUAGAGUCUUGUAGAGGGGGGUAGAAUUCCAGGUGUAGCGGUGAAAUGCGUAGAUAUGUGGAGGAAUACCGAUGGCGAAGGCAGCCCCCUGGGAUAACACUGACGCUCAUGCACGAAAGCGUGGGGAGCAAACAGGAUUAGAUACCCAAGUAGUCCCUGUCUCUUAUAC